GGUGGCUUAGUGGUAGAGCGCCUGCCUUGCAUGCAUGAGGCCCUGGGUUCAAUUCCUCAGCACCA
rnacentral:tRNA from 1 species